rnacentral:rRNA from 1 species
AGAGUGAACGCUGGCGGCAGGCCUAACACAUGCAAGUCGAACGGCAGCACAAGGGAGCUUGCUCCCUGGGUGGCGAGUGGCGGACGGGUGAGGAAUACGUCGGAAUCUGCCUAUUUGUGGGGGGAUAACGUAGGGAAACUUACGCUAAUACCGCAUACGACCCCAUGCCGAGAGGUGCGGGGUGAAAGCGGAGGACCUUCGGGCUUCGCGCAGAUAGAUGAGCCGACCUCGGAUUAGCUUGUUGGCGGGGUAACGGCCCACCAAGGCGACGAUCCGUAGCUGGUCUGAGAGGAUGAUCAGCCACACUGGAACUGAGACACGGUCCAGACUCCUACGGGAGGCAGCAGUGGGAAUAUUGGACAAUGGGCGCAAGCCUGAUCCAGCCAUGCCGCGUGUGUGAAGAAGGCCUUCGGUUAGUAAGCUACUUUUCGACCCGGAAACGAAAGCGUUACGGUUAACGUACCCUGGAGUCCUGACGUACCGGAAGAAUAACGCACCGCUAACUCGUCGC